AAUUUCAAUAUUUUUAAUAACAAUGAGUUUUUUAUACUCUAUUAACUAAAUUGGGGACUCUGAGUCUAUGAAGACGAACUGAGACGAUUGAUUGCGAGCAACUUGUGUCAAACUAUCUGUUCGUGUGUUUAGAGUCCUUGAAACGUAUGUGAUCUUGAAAGUCGCAAAGCUUCUUCGGAUCCGUUCAAUUUCUUCUAGGUACGUUAGAAAAGCAUACCAUUCUUCUGUUUUCAAACCAUUUCACCAACCGAGAAUAUUAUCUUGCAAACAUCAAAUGAAAUUAUCGAAGAUUCUUUAUAUAUUCCAUCGCCCAUAUAAAAGUUUCGAAUUCCACAUGUAGUGGAGAAAGACAAUUCCUAAUAUUCGUCGUUUCCAUCAGGCCAUCAAAACCCUCAAAUGUGUUGUACCAGCUUUGACCAGAGAAUGACUCUUUAUCUUUCUAUCAGCUGUCUGUAAACCACCACCUCCAAAUCUUUCGAGACGAAAUUGGAUUCUCCUCUUUUGUGGUCUGGGAUCAAUACCAAAGUAUCCAUGCAAACUAAGCAUCAUUUAUGUGAAAGCUAAUCUUUCAAAACAAAUAAUCCAUAUUCGCGAAAAUAGAAUGCAUAGAAAAACUUUUUGGCGGUGUUACAAUUCAUACUCACUCACAGAGCGCAACGUUGCACACCAUGGAAGGUCUAGGUCAGAACCGAGAUGAUUAACCAGCUCUGAUACCUCUUUUGUGGUCUGGGAUGGUGAUGUAUGUUCCACAUGUUGCAUUUGUACCUCUUGAGCCUCCUUCCAAAUAAUUUCCUCUGUAUGUGCUAACAUUAACAUAUCCCUAGGGUCUCUAUCAAUACCAAAGUAUCCAUGCAAACUAAUCCAUGCAAACUAAGCAUCAUUAAUCCUUCAAAACAAAUAAUCCAUAUUCGCGAAAAUAGAAUGCAUAGAAAAUUUAUAUGGCGGUGUUACAAUUCAUACUCACUCACAGAGCGCAACGUUGCACACCAUGGAAGGUCUCAAGACGACUAUUAGGUCAGAACCGAGAUGGUUAACCAGCUUUGAUACCACUUGUAACACCCCGAUCGUCCAUGGCUAAUGAGCCACCAACGCUCGCUCAACCGGCCCGUGAACCCCAUGAUAUCACUCAAAUUACCCUAAGGAGUGAUUUGUACUCUCUCAAACUAAGUAUCAUUUAUGUGAGAGCUAAUACGUCAAAACAAAUAAUCCAUAUUCACGAAAAUAGAAUGCACAGGAAAACUUUCUGGCGGUGUUACAAUUCGUACUCACUCACAAAGCGCAACGUUGCACACCAUGGAAGGUCUCAAGGCGACUCUUAGGUCAGAACCAUGAUGGUUAACCAGCUCUGAUACCACUUGUAACGCCCCAACCAUUGACGGCUAGUGAGCCACCAACGCUUGCUCAACCGGCCCGUGAACCCCAUGAUAUCACUCAAAUUACCCUAAGGAGUGAUUUGUACUUUCUCAAAUAAGAGGUCGAGUUGCGGUACUUAGGGAUCAAAUUCACGGGGGAGCUAAGGUACACAAAAGAUCUAGAAGUUAUGUGGUUAAGCUAGGCAAACAUGUUUAAAUGUAAAUAGCAGUGGUGAACAAGCAAUUGUUCGGUUGAUUGACAGAUAUGAAAGGCGUAAGACUUAGGAUUUCUAUUCAGACAAUCACGAUUAUAGAGAUAUAGAUACUAAGCAUAUAUUGGAUAUUCUAGAACUCAAACAGUAAGAAUAGUCGAUCAAUUUUCGUAUUUUUAGACUAUCUAUUGCCGGAUCUAGACCUCAAUUGUUGCUUGUUGGUCUUGAGAAAGUGUAGAUCGAUACCAAUUAAGGAUUGUCGAUAGAUACACCUUUCAGUCCGUCGAUCGAUGCAACUACUGAGUUGUCGAUCGAUGAACCUUCCAGGAAGCUUUAUGCACGGGUUUGACGUGUUCACUAGGUUUAACUAAAUCAGCUUCCACUUGUUUCUAGCAAUCCUAGCACAAUCCAAACUAAUUCAGAUAGAGGACCAAGCUUCCGCUUCCGCCCUAAUAUCUAUAAGCAAGGUCCUAGUUAGCUAUUCUAGAACACAUGUAUUAAGAACAUUUUAAUUGAUGGAUAUCCUAAUACUUAGCAAUUCUAUAUUUUGGGCUAAUCUCUCAUCUCUCAACCCUAAAUCUAACAAAGAGAAUUACUCAGACAUAGCUAUUCAUCACAAAGAAAUAUGAAAGCUCCAUAAAUAGAUAAGAGUAGAAAAACUUGGAGUUCCAAUCACAAAUCUUUGAAGGAGUUCUUGGAUCUUCUCUCCAAACCUAAGACUCUAAGUAUUUUUCUGUAAGAAAAGUAUGAAAGUAUGUGUUGCGUAGAACAAUGGCAGAACACAUAAAUAUUAGGUUAAUACUCGUCAGGGGUAAUAUGGUAAUUCUUGUGGGACUUGGGCUUAAAGUCGACUGGAACCAAAUAUGGCCUUUGCGAGCUUUGCCGUCGAUCGACAUACCGUCGAUCGACAACACAGAGUGUGUGUCGAUCGAUUAUCAUCUUCAAUCAUCGAUCGCUAGACUGUUCGAUGGUCACUACGGGUCUUUAUCAUUUUAUCUCCAAAAUGCACCAAAAUCACCACUUUCCUCCAAAUCACUUCAAAACCUGAAAACAUACUAAAAAGACUCCAAAACAACAACAAUAUAUUUAAAAACACCUAUAUACCAUGGUUAAAAGUGAGUAAAGUCCAUGGUAUAUCAACACCCCCAGACUUACUCUUUUGCUUGUCCUCAAGCAAAACAACGAGUAGUCUCUCUGGAAGCGAUUUAAAACAGCAAGGACUCACAAGAUUUAAGAACUUACUAUCAUCACCUCAACAAAAUUGCAGACCACAUCAAAUCAAUCUUAGCUUAGAAGUACUUUUUAUGCAAUAUCCUAGUUUAGCAACCUAUUCCAUUCAUCCAACAAAUUAACUAAUCAUGUCUGAGUAAUGAUACCACUCAAAUUACCCUAAGGAGUGAUUUAUACUCUCCAAAUAAGAUGUCGAGCUGUAGUACUUUGGGAUCGAAUUCACAGGGAGCUAGGGAACCUAAGAAAUCUAAUAUGAUUUGUUAAUCAAGAUGGUUUUAGAGAUUUAAAUGUGAAUUACAGUUUAAUAUUGAACAAGUGUUUGUUCAAUAUGAUUGGUUGAAGUUUUGGUGCUUAAACAGAAAAUAGUUAGACUUAAGGUUUUUAUUCAGAAAAAUUGGGAUUAUAAUCCUACAAAUGCUUAAUUAGUUGCAUGAAUGAUAAUUAGUCAAUCAGCUCUCGCAUGUUUUGACUUGUCUAUUAACUAGAUCUAAUGAUCUCAACUCUUGUUAUUUUGAUCAAUAGAAAGUGUCGAUCGAUAAUCCUAUAGGGAUAUCGAUCGGUACACCUUUUGCUCCGUCGAUUAAUUAUUCAAGUAUGAUAUCGAUCGACGCGCUCUAGUCAAGCUUUAUGUGCGCAUUGAAUAAUAGCUUACUAAGCUCACUAGAUCAGCUUUCGCCUUGCUCAUAGCAAGAAACAUAGUUCAAUUAGAAUGUUUUCAGGAUGAGAAUGAAACUCUCGCUUUUAUCAAUCAAUCCUAGGACAAGUUCUAGGUAGCUAAUCUAGACACAUGCAUUAAUGAAUAAUCCUAAUGAUGAUUAUCACAACUCAGCAAUCUAUAGUUGGGGCUAAUCCCUCCUAACCUAUUUAAACCCUAAAAUCUAACAAUGGAACUACUCACACAUGGCUAAGCAAUUCGUAACAGCAAUUAAAUAUGAAAACUUCAUUAGAAUAGUAAAUAGAUAUUAAUGGAGUUCCAAUCACAAAUUGUAAUUUUGGAUUUUCUCUCCAAUCUAUCAAAAUCCUAAAAACCUUGCUGUGGAAUUAAUAAAACUAGGAAAGCACACUUUGCCUCUAACGUGGUGGCAAGGUUUAUAUAAUUAGGGUAAAACUCGUCAGGGGUAAUCUUGUAAAACGGUGAAGACUUGGGCUUCAAGUCGGCUGUGACCAAACGGGCUUUAUGCGCUCUUCGCUGUCGAUCGAUACACAGAUGUGAGUAUCGAUCGAUUAUUCAUCUCCAAUAUCGAACGAUGGUCGAGCUCGAUGGUCAUCUCGGGUGCUUGCUCCAAGUAUCUCCAAAAUGCUCCAAAAUCAUCACUUAUCUCCAAAACACUUUUGAUCUUAUAAAUAUAAUAAAUAGACUCUAUAAUAUAAUAAUUAUUAGUAAGAACACCUAUAAACUAUGGAUGAAAAUGGGUCAAAUCCAUAGUCUAUCAACUCCCCCAGACUUACCCUUUUGCUUGUCCUCACGCAAAACAAACAGGCAGUCUCUCUGAAAGAGGUUUAAAACAGCAUGGACUCACAUGAUUUAAAAUUUAGAAUCAUCACCUCUACAAUAUUGCAAUCCACAUCUAAAAAGUCGUAAUCACAAAAGCACAUUAUACCAUAUCCUAGCUUAGCAACCAAAUUUAUCUAGCCAACAACUUAGCAAAUCUUGUUUGUCAUUUUCCUCUAUCAGCCUCAUUUCUUAGCAUAAAUAAAAGUGCAGGUUUUACCUUGGGGGUAUCUAUCACAUGAUGCAAGGAUUUUCAAACAAGUAUCUGGACCUGCAGGUAAACAUUAGUUCAUAUCCUCUCUCUACUAAUUUUCUCUCCUAAUCAAAGUUUGCUUAUAUUAGCAAGAUCAUUGACCAAGAUUGGACAGGCUUCCAUGAAUCAAGCCUUAAUGGUGAUUGCCACCAAGUCAUGUUCACUUCUUUUUAACUGGAUGGUUUCCUUAGUAACCUCGGAUUUGGAUUUUGAUUAUCAUUCUCUGCACCUUUCUUUUGUUUCCGAGGAUUCUUGUCUUUUCGAACCUAUUCGUCUACCACGUUUCAUAUGUUGUCUAGACUCUGUAGCAACUUGACUGUGUCUCUUCUUGGACAUCAAAUUCGUUGGUGCUUUACAAGCUGGUUUAUAUAUGACUUAGUCAUUCUUUUUCGGGUCAGCAAAUGUGUCUGGCAUUUGAUUAUCUAGCUUUGUAAAUGUACAAUCUUUGGACGUCUAUUUCACAUUCUUUAGUCCGAGGAUCUUGCCAAGACUUUGAUGGUUGAUUCCAUUCUAUUUCUUUUACCAUUCUUUUACCAGCUUUAUUAUUUUUCUCCUCCUGGUCUUAAAAUAAUCUGUGUAUCUGGCCUCAAAUAUAAUCACCCAUAGUUGGCUCAAGGUACUUUAUUAUUGUGGGAGAAUCAUAUCCAACAUAUAUCCCCAUCCUCCUUUUGAGGUCCCAUUUUAGUUCUAUGUGGUGGAGUAAUUAGUACAUAGACAACACAUCCAAAUGUCUUAUGAUGGGGUAUGUCUGGCUCUUGACCCGUUAAUAAUUGUGAUAGGGGAUAUAUAUGCUCACUAAAUGGCCUGAUGCGUAUUAACUUAGGUGCAUGUAAAUUUUGUGUGGCCCAAGCUGUGAAAGGGAGUUUUUACCUCAUAAGUUAUGGUCUAUCAAUCUGUUAUUUGCGUUUUAAAAGAUUUCGGCCAAGUCGUUCUUGGUAUGGACAUGUAUCACAAAAUUGUCCACACUUACUCCCCAUGGACAUACCAUAAUCAUUUAAACGCUUGGAACAUGUAUUCACCAGUAUUAUCUAGACAUAUAGUCUUUAUUAUAAAAAAAGGGCUCGUAGCCGUUUUACUGGUGAUGACCUAAUGAGUUUUCCUUGUGUACAUGCUACACACGUGAGAUUCUUUGGGAUAACUCUUCUUAUGUUUUAAUGUGUGCCUUUUGAAUAUCAAUUUUCGCAUCAUGUUUGGACCAGGAUGGCCAAUCCGGUCGUGCCAUAAAAUGUAUAUUUUUGCAGGAUUUUAGCCUCUAUCAUACUGAUCUAUGCAUAGUCUAGGUCAGAAGAGAAUGCAGGUGUAGUCUUUAGGACUUAUUAUGGCCUUGGGCGAUUUUAUACAUAUAUCUGAAGGAAAUCUUUGUUUCUUUCGCCCAUUGUUUCAAUAUGGAAACCAUUCAUUCUUAUAUCUUUAAAACUCAAUAGGCUGCUCUUGCUCUUAGAGCUGGGUGAAUAUAAGGCAUCACUGAUUUCUAGAUGCAUACCCUUAGGCAAUAAUAUAUUAGCCUAGCCAUAGUCUUCUUUCAGACUGGCGAUACCUGCUUAUAUUGGCGUUUUUCAGUGUACUCAUAUAGAAAAAUCAUUCAUUCAUUUAAUCUAAGCAGACAAUGUAAUAGAAAUAAAUUCAAGGAGAUAAAAAUCAGAGAAAGCAUACAAGCAAAGCAAUCACACAAGUUUGAUGUCAAAAUCAGAUCAUCAACUUGAUUCUUUUAGGCAAUCAUAAGUCUCAUAUUCCAUAAGAUCAUCUUGAUCAUGUUCGAAAUUAUUUUCACCAUCUUUAUAGACCAAGUGGGUUUCAGGAUUCUUCCCUUUCAGACUCUCUUUGAUAGAGGUCACAAAAAUGUUUGGGAGUCCUUCAUAUCUUAGCCCAAUAGUUCCCCAUUCCACAUCUAUAGCACACUGAUUUGGUCGAGCUUUGUGGUUUAAAGGAUAUAACACGUCCACUGCCUUAACCAUGGCUCAAAUUGGGUUGAUACCCACAGCCUCUGCCAUAGUGAUUUCCACGGCCAAAUGUGUUAUAGUGGCCAUGGCCACGUCCUUUCCACCCUCCACGGCCAUGGCCGUGUGGUCUAUCAUUCUGGACGUGGUUACCUUUUUUUUAUGCGGCCUUAUUGGUAUCAGGUAAUGGGGUUAAUCCAGGAGGUCUCAAUUCACUGUUUCUCAUCAGUAAUCCAUUAUUUUGCCCAGCUAGCAAUAGACUCAUCCACGGACUUAUAGUCCUGGAUUCUGGGAUUCCUCCCAUCAAAUAGGGCCUUUGGUAAUAACACCGUUCUUUGGUGAUCAUAUCUCGAUUUUGUAACUCUGUCCAAAGGUCUAGAGGAUUUUCUAUAGUCAGAUACUGUUCUUUGAGACUCUUAAUAAGAUGAUGGCUAAUAAUUAAUAUUGCCCUGUAUCAAUCUUUCUCAUUUGGCAUUAUCGCCUUUUGUGAUUCAUUCACCAAGUCCUUUGACUUUAGGAUAAACUCAGUAUCCAGUGCCUAUUUCAAAUAAUUAUCUCCUGAGAGAUUUAGGGCAGCAAAAUCCAAGUUGAUUUUCGACAUCUCAAAUCAUAUAUCAAUCAAUUUUAGAUCUCAUAAAAUAUUUAACAUACGGCCAUAAACAAGACAUGCUAUCAAGUCAAUACAUUUCUAAUAAGAAAACAAGCCACACGGCCAAAGGUGAUAUAAUGCAAUAGGGCCACACGGAUUUAUCAAGCAAGGGUAUCGACCAAACAAGCAAUUUCUAUAUGUUUUCAUGCGGCCAUAUGGUUAUAAUGCAAACCUAGCAUACUGAUUCUAUAUGUACAGGAGUGGAAUUAUGGAACCUCAAUUUAAAACAAUCAGAUCAUGCAAAGGUGAUAAUAAUCAGAUCAUGCGCAUAACAUAAACAUGUUGGUGAGGAUGAUAUAUGAUACAAACUGGCGACACAGCCAAGUAGAUAUGAUGCACUCAAUCUUAGCAAUCGGAUUCUAUAUGUGCAAAGGUAAUAUUAAAACAUUCAAUCAAGGUUUAGUAAUUAGUCAAUCAGUUUCAGGUAUGAGAUUUAGCUAGACUAACAAUCAGAUUCAAUUAGGUUUUAUCAAGACUAGCAAUUGGAUCAAUAAUCAAAAAUAAUCAAACGGAUUCAAGCAUUACACAAUUUAGGGUUUCGAUCCAAAAAUAGGGUUUCAAUCAUGAAAAACCAAAACAAUCAGUUUCAAGGCUGAUUCUAUCAAUUUUAUUAAUCAGUUUCAAGGCUAAUAUUAGCAAGAUGGAAUCAAGCAAUCUGAUUUUAGGAAUACGCAAAUUAGGGUUUAGGGUUUCAAUUCGAAAUUAGGGUUUUAUCAAUCAAUCAGCUUCUAGCAAAUGAUCUUAAACCUCAGAACAUUUGAUUAUAUCAUGAAACUAUUAACCUAGUAUAAUAUGAAACCUCAAAACAUUCAAUUCGGAUUAUGCAAUACAAAUUAGGGUUUAUCAAUUCGAAUUAGGGUUUAUAUUAUAACAGAUUCUAACAUGGAAUAUUAAACCUCAAAUCAUUCAAUCAGGUUAUAAAAACUAUCAAUCCUAACUCACACGGAUUUAAACCUCAAAGAAACAUUCAAUCAAUCAAAUAAAACAAUCCAUGCACACGUAAUUUAGGGUUUACAGAUUUUAGGGUUUCACUUUGAACAUUAGUUCAUUCGAUUCCGGGUUCUUAGAGUUUAGGUAUACCUUAAACCUUUGAUGGGUUGAAUGGACCACCAAGAGAAUGAGCUUACGUGGACUGGUACAAACUGGAACCUUACGCGGACUGGUCCAAACUGUUUCCUUGCAGUCCGCGAGCUUAGAUCUGGAACAAGAGGUGAUCGAUAGAGAUUAGGGUUUUAGCAAUGGAGAGAGAUUUAGGGUUUAUGGUCGAUAUUUUAGCAUAGGGUUUUAGAGAUCAAUCGUACUGAUAACGUGUUGUGAAAGUAAUAGAAAAGUCUAUUUUUAUUCAUAACAUAUAUGUUCCUUAUAUAGGAGAUUGCACCGUCAUAGAUAAAUGGAAAGAGUACAAAUCAUAAUCCAACUAGGAAAAGGAGAAAAGGAAAAGCUGGCCGACUCUCUCUUUCUUGGGCCGCCGAUGAUAUAAUCUCUUGGUUAUGAGCCAUCCACAAUCUGGUUCAUAACACGAUCCUCCAUAUUUCUUUUUUUAUCUUUCUCUUUGAUUUUCUUUUGAGUCUGAGAGUAUACACAAAACUAGUUUCGCCGGACUUCUGAUAGAGUGACGCAAAUCAGAAGAUUUUUGCAGUUGUAUCUUGGGACUCAUUACUUUAUCGAACCGUCGCACUAUGGGACGUAUUUUGAGUUAAGGAAAGAGAUAAUAUCUCGCCUCUACAGUUGUAUCAUCAUUUUCUUAAUCUUUGGUAUAAUCUUAUUAAAUUUAUUCUUUACAAGAUUCAGUUAUCCGUAAUUUAUAUAAUACGGUCCUAUCAGAAACUAACAGAUACUUUCAAGGAAUCCCUAAUACCUCUUUGAUUUAGGGCAGUUUUGUAUUUCAACGUUUUCUUCUUUUUUUAUUGGUUUAGUGGGUAUGUGGGUCGGAUUAGACCUUGACGGGUUAUAACUAAGUUAAACAUGA